GACGAACGCUGGCGGCGUGCUUAACACAUGCAAGUCGAACGGAAAGGCCCUGCGUUUGUGGGGUGCUCGAGUGGCGAACGGGUGAGUAACACGUGAGUAACCUGCCCUUGACUUUGGGAUAACUUCAGGAAACUGGGGCUAAUACCGGAUAGGAGCUACUGCUGCAUGGUGGGGGUUGGAAAGUUUCGGCGGUUGGGGAUGGACUCGCGGCUUAUCAGCUUGUUGGUGGGGUAGUGGCUUACCAAGGCUUUGACGGGUAGCCCGCCUGAGAGGGUGGACGGCCACCUUGGGCCUGCGAUACGGCCCAGUCUCCUACGGGCGGCAGUAGGGGGGAAUAUUGCACAAUGGCCGGAAGCGUGAUGCAGCAACGCUGCGUGCGGGAUGACGUCCUUCGGGUUGUAAACCGCUUUCGCCUGUGACGAAGCGUGAGUGACGGUAAUUGGUAAAGAAGCACCGGCUAACUACGUG
rnacentral:rRNA from 1 species